rnacentral:lncRNA from 1 species
GUGUGGGAUAGUAGGGUUACCCGUAGAUGACUAGUGUUUUAGCGUAGGUCCCCUCUUGGUUGGUAAUAUGGUAGUUGUCGCUUGUUAUUGUCGCAUGAGACGGUAUUUAUGUUUCUUAUGUUUACAUAAUCAUUUACAUUAUUUUUGCAGGAUUACUUAUACUUUGUUUUGUUAUUGUGUUUUAUCUUGCCUUGGUUCCUAACUUUAUCUUUGUUUUCCAAUGCAGCUUUUCAUUCUGUCCUAUGCGCCGAGGGUUGCUUGGAAGCAGCCUCUCUACCCUUUUGGAUAGGGGUAAGGCUGUCUACAUAUUACCUUCCCCAGACCCCACCUGGUGGGAGUAUACUGGGUAAUUGUUGUUGUUGUUGUUGUU